UACGUAGGGUGCGAGCGUUGUCCGGAAUUAUUGGGCGUAAAGAGCUCGUAGGCGGUUUGUCGCGUCUGCUGUGAAAACUCGGGGCUUAACUCCGGGCCUGCAGUGGGUACGGGCAGACUAGAGUGCGGUAGGGGAGAAUGGAAUUCCUGGUGUAGCGGUGAAAUGCGCAGAUAUCAGGAAGAACACCCGUGGCGAAGGCGGUUCUCGGGGACGACAACUGACGCUGAGACGCGAAAGCGUGGGGAGCAAACAGG
rnacentral:rRNA from 1 species